rnacentral:rRNA from 1 species
AUGAACAUAGCCCUCCUGACUCGUUGGCUCUGGCGCAUUUCCAAUGGCGAUGGAGGUCUCUGGCUCACCAUCAUCCAGAACAAGUAUCUUCGAGGACAGCCCCUUGCUUUCUGUCAACGCUCGGGCGGCUCCCAGUUCUGGCAGGCCGUCGUCCAGCUGCUUCCGGUGCUUCGUAUUGGCACAUCCAUAGCGGUUGGUACCGGGUCAUCGAUCCUGUUCUGGUUCGAUCGGUGGAUUGUCGACUCUCCCUUGGCCGCGCGAUUUCCUGCGCUCUUCACAAUUGCAGUUGACCCUCAUAUCUCUGUCGAGACGGCCCUUAUUGACUUAGGGUGCCUCGCCUUCCGUCGACCCUUCGGCCCCCCUGAAGUAGCCGCUUGGGACGCCCUAAUGCAGGACAUUGCCCUUCUCCCUAUGGACGGCGUUGGCUCCCCGGAUGUCACAUCUUGGUGGCUUGAGCCCUCCGACUGCUUCUCCACCAAAUCCCUCUACGCGGCCAUCGCCCCCUCGACGGCCCCCGAGCCCUUUAGUUUGAUUUGGGAUAUCCGCCUGCCCCUGAAGAUCAGGAUCUUCAUGUGGCAAUGGAUUCGCGGCCGCCUCCAACUGACGUGGAGGUCCGUAAGCGUAAUGGACCUGGGAACGGGAUGUGCCCCUUGUGCGACACGGUGGAGGAUGCUAACCACAUCUUCUUCUCGUGCUCUAUGGCUCAAUUCCUUUGGUCCUGCUUCCGCGAGACGGUUGGGGGCCAGUGGUGUAACACCAACUUCCCUGACCUGCUUGCGGAAAUCCAUUCCUCCCCCCUCGCUACCACCAUAUCAGAUGGCUCUGCGUUGGGGUCCUUGCCUAGACACUCUGGACCGUUCGCAAUAA